rnacentral:rRNA from 1 species
CCUACGGGCGGCUGCAGUAGGGAAUAUUGCUCAAUGGGGGAAACCCUGAAGCAGCAACGCCGCGUGGAGGAUGAAGGUUUUCGGAUUGUAAACUCCUAUUGUUAGAGAAGAUAAUGACGGUAUCUAACGAAAAAGCAUCGGCUCACUCCGUGCCCGCAGCCGCGGUAAUACGGGGGAUGCGAGCGUUAUCCGGAUUUAUUGGGUUAAAAGGGUGCGCAGGCGGGGGUGCAAGUCAGUGGUCAAAUUGCGGGGCUCAACCCCGUACUGCCGUUGAAACUGCAUCCCUUGAGUGCGCGAGAAGUAUGCGGAAUGCGUGGUGUAGCGGUGAAAUGCAUAGAUAUCACGCAGAACUCCGGUUGCGAAGGCAGCAUACCGGCGCGCAACUGACGCUGAUGCGCGAAAGCGUGGGUAUCGAACAGGAUUAGAUACCCCAGUAGUC